rnacentral:rRNA from 1 species
CACGUAGGGCGCAAGCGUUGUCCGGAAUUAUUGGGCGUAAAGAGCUCGUAGGCGGUCUGUUACGUCUGCUGUGAAAACCCAGGGUUUAACCCUGGGCUUGCAGUGGAUACGGGCAGACUAGAGGCAGGUAGGGGAGAAUGGAAUUCCCGGUGUAGCGGUGAAAUGCGCAGAUAUCGGGAGGAACACCGGUGGCGAAGGCGGUUCUCUGGGCCUGACCUGACGCUGAGGAGCGAAAGCGUGGGGAGCGAACAGG